rnacentral:rRNA from 1 species
CCUACGGGCGGCUGCAGUGGGGAAUAUUGGACAAUGGGCGAAAGCCUGAUCCAGCCAUGCCGCGUGUGUGAAGAAGGCCUUCGGGUUGUAAAGCACUUUCAGUGGGGAAGAAAGCCUUGGGGCUAAUACCCUCGAGGAAGGACAUCACCCACAGAAGAAGCACCGGCUAACUCCGUGCCAGCAGCCGCGGUAAUACGGAGGGUGCGAGCGUUAAUCGGAAUUACUGGGCGUAAAGCGCGCGUAGGCGGUCUGAUAAGCCGGUUGUGAAAGCCCCGGGCUCAACCUGGGAACGGCAUCCGGAACUGUCAGGCUAGAGUGCAGGAGAGGAAGGUAGAAUUCCCGGUGUAGCGGUGAAAUGCGUAGAGAUCUGGAGGAAUACCAGUGGCGAAGGCGGCCUUCUGGACUGACACUGACGCUGAGGUGCGAAAGCGUGGGUAGCAAACAGGAUUAGAUACCCCGGUAGUC